CGCCUCUUGAUAAGAGGUCCAGCCUGCCCAGUGAGUUCAACGGCCGCGGUAUACUAACCGUGCGAAGGUAGCGUAAUCACUUGUCUUAUAAAUAAAGACUAGUAUGAAAGGCACCACGAGAACUAAACUGUCUCCUUUUUCCAAUCCGUGAACCUAAUAUUUCCGUGAAGAAGCGGAAAUUUCUUAAUAAGACGAGAAGACCCUAUGGAGCUUUAAACAUCAUAAUCAAUGCAACAUGAUUAUAUGUUUUUGGUUGGGGUGACUGCGGAGAAAACCCACCCUCCGCGAUGAAAAACAAUAAGCCACAGCUUUAUGUAUCAACAAAUUGACACAAUUGACCCAAUAUAUUGAUUAACGAACCAAGUUACCCUAGGGAUAACAGCGCAAUCCACUUCAAGAGCUCCUAUCGACAAGUGGGCUUACGACCUCGAUGUUGGAUCAGGGUAUCCUAGUGGUGCAGCAGCUACUAAAGGCUCGUUUGUUCAACGAUUAAAACCCC
rnacentral:rRNA from 1 species